rnacentral:rRNA from 1 species
ACGGGUGAGUAAAGUAUCGGAACGUGCCCAGUAGAGGGGGAUAACUACGCGAAAGCGUAGCUAAUACCGCAUACGCCCUGAGGGGGAAAGCGGGGGGUCGCAAGACCUCGCGUUAUUGGAGCGACCGAUAUCGGAUUAGCUAGUUGGUAGGGUAAAGGCCUACCAAGGCGACGAUCCGUAGCUGGUUUGAGAGGACGACCAGCCACACUGGGACUGAGACACGGCCCAGACUCCUACGGGAGGCAGCAGUGGGGAAUUUUGGACAAUGGGGGCAACCCUGAUCCAGCCAUUUCGCGUGUGCGAUGAAGGCCUUCGGGUUGUAAAGCACUUUUGGCAGGGAAGAAAAGGUUUGGGCUAAUACCCUGAGCCGCUGACGGUACCUGCAGAAUAAGCACCGGCUAACUACGUGCCAGCAGCCGCGGUAAUACGUAGGGUGCAAGCGUUAAUCGGAAUUACUGGGCGUAAAGCGUGCGCAGGCGGUUCGGAAAGAAGGAUGUGAAAUCCCAGGGCUUAACCUUGGAACUGCAUUUUUAACUACCGGGCUAGAGUGUGUCAGAGGGAGGUGGAAUUCCGCGUGUAGCAGU